rnacentral:rRNA from 1 species
UACGGAGGGUGCGAGCGUUGUCCGGAAUUAUUGGGCGUAAAGGGCGCGUAGGCGGCCGGACAAGUGGAAGGUGAAAUCCCCGAGCUCAACUCGGGAACUGCCCUCCAAACUGUUUGGCUUGAGUCCGGGAGAGGUGAGUGGAAUUCCCAGUGUAGCGGUGAAAUGCGUAGAUAUUGGGAGGAACACCAGUGGCGAAGGCGGCUCACUGGACCGGAACUGACGCUGAGGCGCGAAAGCGUGGGGAGCAAACAGG